rnacentral:pre_miRNA from 1 species
CUACUACUCCCUCCGUCCGAAAAUACUUGUCAUUGAAAUGGAUGCAUCUAGAUGUAUUUUAGUUCUAGACACAUCCAUUUUGAUGACAAGUAAUUUCGGACGGAGGGAGUAUUAU